rnacentral:lncRNA from 1 species
GAACAUGCCGUCUCAUCUCAGCCUACCAAGUGCUGGAAUUCCAUACUUGUGUCAUAAAAGCUUGUGACACAAAGCUUAGUCUUUCUUGCCUUUGUUCUAAUUACUAUAUUUUGUUUUUAUCUUUACCAGAAUGUAGUAGAUCUUCUCCAUCUACUUUUUUAUUUUUCUGAUUAAAAUUUCAGAAAUUUUAAUUUUUUGUUUUCUGAAUGUUUCUUUUCCUUGCAUGGUUUAAGAUUUUAAAAUUUUGUGAGAUUUAAUUAAUAUGUGAUUAUUCUCUAGUGAAUAUAUAUAUAUGUACGUAUGUAUAUUCACUAUCAAAAUUGUGACUGUUUCCAUCAUCCCUAAAAUGAACUUGGUGUCCAUUAACAGGCAACACACACACACACACACACACACACACACACACACACCACUGAAGUCCAUGGUAAAAUACUAAUAAGUUUUCUAUCUCUUUUAAUUUUUUUUAUUCUGUACAUUUCAUAUGCAUGAAAGCGUGUAUGUAGCAUUGUGUGUCUGAAUUCUUUCGUGUGACAUAACAUUUUCAAGGUCCAUUGUAUUAAGAUAUAUCAGUACUUUAUUCAUUUUAUGACUCAUAUUCUAUUGCAUGGAUGUACCAUACUUUUCUCAUUAGAUAUAAAAACUUUGCAUAUUAUAAAUAAUGAUGCUAUAAGUUUUGUUUGCACAUAUGUUUUCAAUUCUUUUGGCAUACGCCUAUGAUUAGAAUUACUGAGUUACAAAGACUAUAUCUUUUGAAUUGUUGUCAAAUUAUUUUUCAAAAAGAAUGCCAUUUUACAUUCCUACCAACAAUGUAUAGAAAAAUCAUUUUUCCAUAUCCAGUUUUUCCUUAAAAUUGUUUUCAUCCUAUCUAUGUGAAGCAACAUAUUACUGUGGUUUGAUUUGCAGUUCCAAAAUGAUCUCUAGUGUUGAGCGUAUUUCCAUGAGUUUAUUGGCUAUUUGAGUAUAUUGUAUGAACACAUUCUUAUUUGAUUGAUUGUAAUUAAGGUAUACAGCCUAAACUACAGCCUUAUAAUUUAUAAUUUAUGAACAUUUAUAAACAUUUCUCUCAUUU